AUGCUCUCUUUGGCAGCACAUAUACUAAAAUUGGAACAAUACAGAGAAGAUUAGCACAGCCCCUGUGCAAAGAUGACACACAAAUUCGUGAAGUGUUCCUUAUCUGC
ensembl:snRNA U6 U6 spliceosomal RNA